AACUUUAUAGUGUAUAUAACGCACAGCAGAUUGCAAAGCUGCAAGAGAUAGAAUCUAAAGUUU
rnacentral:tRNA from 1 species